GACGAACGCUGGCGGCGUGCUUAACACAUGCAAGUCGAACGGAAAGGCCCUGCUUUUGUGGGGUGCUCGAGUGGCGAACGGGUGAGUAACACGUGAGUAACCUGCCCUUGACUUUGGGAUAACUUCAGGAAACUGGGGCUAAUACCGGAUAGGAGCUCCUGCUGCAUGGUGGGGGUUGGAAAGUUUCGGCGGUUGGGGAUGGACUCGCGGCUUAUCAGCUUGUUGGUGGGGUAGUGGCUUACCAAGGCUUUGACGGGUAGCCGGCCUGAGAGGGUGACCGGCCACAUUGGGACUGAGAUACGGCCCAGACUCAUACGGGAGGCAGGAGUGGGGAAUAUGGCACAAUGGGCGGAAGCCUGAUGCAGCAACGCCGCGUGCGGGAUGACGGCCUUCGGGUUGUAAACCGCUUUCGCCUGUGACGAAGCGUGAGUGACGGUAAUGGGUAAAGAAGCACCGGCUAACUACGU
rnacentral:rRNA from 1 species